AAAUAAUUUUUCUAGAUGAUGUUUGGUUUGUUGAGUUUGUGUUAUGCUGCUUCAUGUUGUGUGACUACUGGAAAUCAAUUUAGGAUCAUCUUUGGAAGUGGAGCCAGAUUAACCAUUGAACCCAAUGACGAGUACAAGCCGUCCUACUAUACAGUGGAAGGCAAUGACACCACGGCAUGCCUGGCCACUGGUUUCAGCAGACACAACGCAACACAAUCAGAUGACCAUAAGGAUUUGUUCAGUGAGACAGAGGCCGUCCGGAUAUCAGAAGACUCGCUGUACAACCAGGUGGCUGUGUUAUCAAAUGGAGAGACAUGUGAGAUUGAGGGUCAAGGAUCUGAUAGCACAAAAGGUGAAAGUCUGAAGUGUGAAGAUACUUUGGAGCCAGAUCCAACAGUGAACUUCAUGUCUCUGACCGUCCUGGGCCUCAGGCUGCUCUUGAUGAAGACCAUCGUCUUCAACGGCCUGAUGACCCUCCGGCUGUGGAUGAGUCAGUAAACUCUUCAGACCUUCACCAGAGAAAAACCACAAGCUGAAUCACAGAACAACUUUCUGAUGGUCAUCGCUCAGCUUCAUUUCUUCUUUCAUCACUGUCUCAUAUAUCUGCUUCAUGUAUAGCAACAUGUUUAAAUAUCAUAUCACCUGUUAAUCUGUUAAUAUCAUCAUACUGCCGACAGACAUGAAGGCAUCCUGUGAUACAUGUAAUCUUUAUUAUGCUGGAGAAGUUGUUGUUUUUUGGUUUUGAUGAAUGAAUUUAGACUCUUUCUGUCCUGCGGAUGUAAAUAUCACAGUCUGACGCUCUGUCCUGCUUUCAGUAAAAACUCGAAAGGAAACUUUUUAAAUACUUUUUUGUGAUAUUUCCUUUGCAACGUUACAAUAAAUAUUAUAUAUAUUGUUGACAUUGACUUUACUUCAUACAGACGUCACUGCUGUAUCUGUAAAAAUAAAAAUAAUAACUGCAAAAUCAA